rnacentral:lncRNA from 1 species
UUGAGAUUAUCAUCCGCUGAGGGUGGAAGGGGAGUGAGCAGACACACUCGGGAGGUGUCUUGAGAUUAUCAUCCGCUGAGGGUAGAGCUGAGGGUGGAAGGGGAGUGAGCAGACACUCGGGAGGUGUCUUGAGAUUAUCAUCCGCUGAGGGUGGAAGGGGAUAGAGCAGACGCUCGGAAGGUGUCUUGAGGCUCAGGGAGUUAUCAAUUAUAGAAUGUUGUUGAGUUGGAGGAGGUGGCUGGUGGCCCAUCCUGUUUUUUAAAGUUUCAGCUGUGAGGUAGGGCCAGUAGGGCAAUCCUGAAGAAUGACGAUGCUCCACUGCCGCCAUUCUGACCUGUAGGGCCAAAGGAGGGAAUGUUUUCACACAUAUUCAUUUGAUGGACAAAAUUACCGCCACCAACACAGUCUGCACCUUCUGUUGCUGGUGAUAGAUUUUUGCACCUUUCCAUCCUCCAGGUUUCAAAAU